ACGAAGCUGAUUCUGUUUCUAGACUCUCUUAACCAUUGUGUACUGUAUGAUGACUUUUUUUUUUUUUUAAACAAACUUUUUGUUCCAAUCUGGAAGCAAGAAAAAUCCUGUCUUCUGAGACUUUGGGGUAGUAGUUUGGCAAAUGGAGAAAUCAGACCACAUAGGCCAGCCGCACUCACUUGGGAGUGCUUGUGUGCCGACUCCUCUGCUCGUGUGGUGAAGGUGUUAUGUCACCUCGCAUGAGCAGAGCUCUACACGCGCCUGCCACGCAGCUGUAAACAGCGGGGGCUCGCCGGGCUCAGGGGAAUCCAUGAAGCUUGGCCUCUACCCUCUCUCCGUUGGGAGUGCGUGCUGCAUAAGCAACUGCAGUUUGUCUCUCUCCCCCCAAAUGACAUGUGACUCUUACAGUGAGGUCCCUGUGAUUCUUGUCCGAUACUGAAACUGCUGAGAGCAGCUGGAGGAGCACRGGCAUUUUGAUUGCCCCAUGCUGUAGAAGAAAGCCUAAUUGUUAGUUACAGUGUAUGAAUUAAAACCAUGUAUGCAUUUUUGUUAGUUUUGCUAAACUCGACAGUUGUUGCCAAUGAUAGAUGUCUCUCAAAACAGGAAAUUGUUUCCAUUGUGUUUGAUUUUUCAUGAAAAUGUGUGAACACAUAAGUAUUCCUUGUAUUUCCCUCUUCAGCAUAUAACAUCAGUCAUUUCAACACCCCUAAAAGUGAAACAACUCCCUACUGAGAUGGCUCUUAACCAGGCUGAUGUUUAUCUGAUCACUUCCUCAGUCUGCUGCGAGAAAGAAAUCA
rnacentral:lncRNA from 1 species